rnacentral:ncRNA from 1 species
CGAGAAUAGAGUAGCAGGAUGGUAGCCCCUGCGCCCGCAUGUCGGGUUCUUCCCUGCCACGG